rnacentral:rRNA from 1 species
UACGUAGGGGGCAAGCGUUGUCCGGAAUUAUUGGGCGUAAAGAGCGCGUAGGCGGUCCGGUAAGUCGGCUGUGAAAGUCAAGGGCUCAACCCUUGAAAGCCGGCCGAUACUGUCGGACUAGAGUCCGGAAGAGGCGAGUGGAAUUCCCGGUGUAGCGGUGAAAUGCGUAGAUAUCGUAAGGAAGACCAGUGGCGAAGGCGGGUCUCUGGACAGUUCCUGACGCUGAGGCACGAAGGUCAGGGGAGCAAACGGG